rnacentral:lncRNA from 1 species
GUUGAGAGCGAUUUUGAGAGUGACGAGAGGUGAGUGAGAUGGAGAGAGCUCGAGGACGAUGAAUAGGUUCUGUUCUCAUUUUUUCUUUUUAUUUAUUUCUUUUUAUUUGUUAAUAAAACAAACAUUGAAACUAUUAAAAUUUUUACGUUUAAUCUUCCUAUGUUUUUAUUUAAUAGUGUUUUUAGUUAAUAGUUUACAUUAAUAUAUCAUUUUUUUGGCAUUCCCAAUCCAUCAGCCUUUGGAACCCAACAGCCAGGCG